UCGACGUCGUCGUCGUCGUGUUACUGGUAUACAUGCGGUAAAGGACCUUAAUAAAAGAAGUGUGUUUGUGGAGGAGACUGUGGCUGUCAACCAUGAGAACAGAGCCAAGAUCGAGGAGAAUUACCAUGACCUGAAUGGACGUAAUCAUGAGGAAUGACGUCAUUUAAAUGUUACUAAAUCAUCUAAAUAAACAACAAAUACACUAUCCGCUUUUAA